rnacentral:rRNA from 1 species
GACUGGGGGGCAAGUGUUCUUCGGAAUGACUGGGCGUAAAGGGCACGUAGGCGGUGAAUCGGGUUGAAAGUGAAAGUUGCCAAAAAGUGGUGGAAUGCUCUCGAAACCAAUUCACUUGAGUGAGACAGAGGAGAGUGGAAUUUCGUGUGUAGGGGUGAAAUCCGUAGAUCUACGAAGGAACGCCAAAAGCGAAGGCAGCUCUCUGGGUCCCUACCGACGUUGGGGUGCGAAAGCAUGGGGAGCGAACAGG